CUGUGAGCUCGAUGAGUAGGGCGGGACACGUGGUAUCCUGUCUGAAUAUGGGGGGACCAUCCUCCAAGGCUAAAUACUCCUGACUGACCGAUAGUGAACCAGUACCGUGAGGGAAAGGCGAAAAGAACCCCGGCGAGGGGAGUGAAAAAGAACCUGAAACCGUGUACGUACAAGCAGUGGGAGCCUCUUUUAUGGGGUGACUGCGUACCUUUUGUAUAAUGGGUCAGCGACUUAUAUUCUGUAGCAAGGUUAACCGAAUAGGGGAGCCGAAGGGAAACCGAGUCUUAACUGGGCGUUAAGUUGCAGGGUAUAGACCCGAAACCCGGUGAUCUAGCCAUGGGCAGGUUGAAGGUUGGGUAACACUAACUGGAGGACCGAACCGACUAAUGUUGAAAAAUUAGCGGAUGACUUGUGGCUGGGGGUGAAAGGCCAAUCAAACCGGGAGAUAGCUGGUUCUCCCCGAAAGCUAUUUAGGUAGCGCCUCGUGAAUUCAUCUCCGGGGGUAGAGCACUGUUUCGGCAAGGGGGUCAUCCCGACUUACCAACCCGAUGCAAACUGCGAAUACCGGAGAAUGUUAUCACGGGAGACACACGGCGGGUGCUAACGUCCGUCGUGAAGAGGGAAACAACCCAGACCGCCAGCUAAGGUCCCAAAGUCAUGGUUAAGUGGGAAACGAUGUGGGAAGGCCCAGACAGCCAGGAUGUUGGCUUAGAAGCAGCCAUCAUUUAAAGAAAGCGUAAUAGCUCACUGGUCGAGUCGGCCUGCGCGGAAGAUGUAACGGGGCUAAACCAUGCACCGAAGCUGCGGCAGCGACACUAUGUGUUGUUGGGUAGGGGAGCGUUCUGUAAGCCUGUGAAGGUGGCCUGUGAGGGUUGCUGGAGGUAUCAGAAGUGCGAAUGCUGACAUAAGUAACGAUAAAGCGGGUGAAAAGCCCGCUCGCCGGAAGACCAAGGGUUCCUGUCCAACGUUAAUCGGGGCAGGGUGAGUCGACCCCUAAGGCGAGGCCGAAAGGCGUAGUCGAUGGGAAACAGGUUAAUAUUCCUGUACUUGGUGUUACUGCGAAGGGGGGACGGAGAAGGCUAUGUUGGCCGGGCGACGGUUGUCCCGGUUUAAGCGUGUAGGCUGGUUUUCCAGGCAAAUCCGGAAAAUCAAGGCUGAGGCGUGAUGACGAGGCACUACGGUGCUGAAGCGACAAAUGCCCUGCUUCCAGGAAAAGCCUCUAAGCAUCAGGUAACAUUAAAUCGUACCCCAAACCGACACAGGUGGUCAGGUAGAGAAUACCAAGGCGCUUGAGAGAACUCGGGUGAAGGAACUAGGCAAAAUGGUGCCGUAACUUCGGGAGAAGGCACGCUGAUAUGUAGGUGAAGCGACUUGCUCGUGGAGCUGAAAUCAGUCGAAGAUACCAGCUGGCUGCAACUGUUUAUUAAAAACACAGCACUGUGCAAACACGAAAGUGGACGUAUACGGUGUGACGCCUGCCCGGUGCCGGAAGGUUAAUUGAUGGGGUUAGCGGCAACGCGAAGCUCUUGAUCGAAGCCCCGGUAAACGGCGGCCGUAACUAUAACGGUCCUAAGGUAGCGAAAUUCCUUGUCGGGUAAGUUCCGACCUGCACGAAUGGCGUAAUGAUGGCCAGGCUGUCUCCACCCGAGACUCAGUGAAAUUGAACUCGCUGUGAAGAUGCAGUGUACCCGCGGCAAGACGGAAAGACCCCGUGAACCUUUACUAUAGCUUGACACUGAACAUUGAGCCUUGAUGUGUAGGAUAGGUGGGAGGCUUUGAAGUGUGGACGCCAGUCUGCAUGGAGCCGACCUUGAAAUACCACCCUUUAAUGUUUGAUGUUCUAACGUGGGCCCGUAAUCCGGGUUGCGGACAGUGUCUGGUGGGUAGUUUGACUGGGGCGGUCUCCUCCUAAAGAGUAACGGAGGAGCACGAAGGUUGGCUAAUCCUGGUCGGACAUCAGGAGGUUAGUGCAAUGGCAUAAGCCAGCUUGACUGCGAGCGUGACGGCGCGAGCAGGUGCGAAAGCAGGUCAUAGUGAUCCGGUGGUUCUGAAUGGAAGGGCCAUCGCUCAACGGAUAAAAGGUACUCCGGGGAUAACAGGCUGAUACCGCCCAAGAGUUCAUAUCGACGGCGGUGUUUGGCACCUCGAUGUCGGCUCAUCACAUCCUGGGGCUGAAGUAGGUCCCAAGGGUAUGGCUGUUCGCCAUUUAAAGUGGUACGCGAGCUGGGUUUAGAACGUCGUGAGACAGUUCGGUCCCUAUCUGCCGUGGGCGCUGGAGAACUGAGGGGGGCUGCUCCUAGUACGAGAGGACCGGAGUGGACGCAUCACUGGUGUUCGGGUUGUCAUGCCAAUGGCACUGCCCGGUAGCUAAAUGCGGAAGAGAUAAGUGCUGAAAGCAUCUAAGCACGAAACUUGCCCCGAGAUGAGUUCUCCCUGACCCUUUAAGGGUCCUGAAGGAACGUUGAAGACGACGACGUUGAUAGGCCGGGUGUGUAAGCGCAGCGAUGCGUUGAGCUAACCGGUACUAAUGAACCGUGAGGCUUAACCUU
rnacentral:rRNA from 1 species